rnacentral:rRNA from 1 species
UAAAUUGAGAGUUUGAUCCUGGCUCAGGACGAACGCUGGCGGCGUGCUUAACACAUGCAAGUCGAGCGAAGUUAUUCCUUCGGGAAUAACUUAGCGGCGGACGGGUGAGUAACACGUGGGUAACCUGCCUCAUAGAGGGGGAUAGCCUUCCGAAAGGAAGAUUAAUACCCCAUAAC